AGGUGAGUAGCUCAAUUGGCAGAGCGAUGGUCUCCAAAACCAUAGGCUGCGGGUUCGAUUCCUGCCUCACCUG
rnacentral:tRNA from 1 species